rnacentral:rRNA from 1 species
UACGGAGGGUGCAAGCGUUAUCCGGAUUCACUGGGUUUAAAGGGUGCGUAGGUGGCGCUGUAAGUCGGGUGUGAAAUUUCGGAGCUUAACUCCGAAACUGCAUUCGAUACUGCGGUGCUUGAGGACUGGAGAGGAGACUGGAAUUCAUGGUGUAGCAGUGAAAUGCGUAGAGAUCAUGAGGAAGACCAGUGGCGAAGGCGGGUCUCUGGACAGUUCCUGACACUGAGGCACGAAGGCCAGGGGGAGCAAACGGG